ACCCGAAGGAAGGCGGCAACAGCGAGUACCUGCGCCAAGGUUCCCUCUAUCUGGCCUUUGUUCUCCGCUCGAUGGUACUGCGCAUGCGUAGUUGCCUCAGCACGGUCCCCGCCUUCCCGACCGCGGGCCCAGCUCCGUAGCGCCGGCGCACUGGCGCGCUCCGUUCACACGCUCCGCGGCCUGUAAGGCACCGCGAGUUCCGGCUGUCGCCGUCACCGCCGCGGCUCCUGGAGGUCGGUUGCGACGAGUAACGGCGCCGGGACGAGCCCCGCGCCUUCGUUUCCUAUAUGUAUCCGAAUUGGGGCCGGUAUGGCGGGAGCAGCCACUAUCCGCCGCCGCCGGUGCCGCCGCCGCCGCCACCGGUGGCGCUUCCCGAGGCCUCGCCGGGGCCCGGGUACUCCAGUUCGACGGCUCCCGCGGCCCCUUCCUCUUCAGGCUUCAUGAGCUUCCGAGAGCAACACUUGGCGCAGCUCCAGCAGCUGCAGCAGAUGCACCAGAAGCAAAUGCAGUGCGUGCUCCAACCCCACCAUCUUCCUCCGCCCCCGCUGCCACCCCCGCCGGUGAUGCCCGGGGGCGGCUACGGAGACUGGCAGCCGCCUCCGCCACCGAUGCCCCCGCCACCUGGACCAGCCCUCAGUUAUCAGAAGCAGCAGCAGUACAAACACCAGAUGAUCCACCACCAACGAGAUGGGCCUCCGGGUUUGGUUCCAAUGGAGCUGGAGUCCCCUCCUGAAUCUCCCCCUGUACCUCCAGGAUCCUACAUGCCCCCAUCCCAGUCGUACAUGCCUCCACCUCAGCCACCACCCUCGUACUAUCCCCCUUCCUCCGCUCAGCCCUACCUGCCUCCUGCUCAGCCAUCCCCUUCACAGUCUCCACCUUCCCAGUCCUAUCUGGCGCCCACUCCUUCUUAUUCUUCCUCGUCCUCCUCACAAUCAUAUUUGAGCCAUUCCCAGCCCUACUUACCCCCUUCUCAGGCCUCUCCUUCCCGCUCCUCCCAGGGCCCUUCUAAACCCCAGCUACCACCACCACCGUCCAUCCCUUCUGGGAAUAAAACAGCUAUCCAGCAAGAGCCUUUGGAGAGUGGGGCCAAGAACAAGACUGCUGAACAGAAGCAAGCUGCUCCUGAACCAGAUCCCUCUACAAUGACUCCACAGGAGCAACAACAAUAUUGGUAUCGACAGCAUCUACUUAGUUUGCAGCAGAGGACAAAGGUGCAUUUGCCGGGACAUAAAAAGGGUCUUGUCACAGCAAAGGAUGUACCAGAACCCAUCAAAGAAGAAGCUCCGGGGCCAGCUGCCAGUCAGGUAGCAGAACCUCUUGCAGCUGAGAAGCCCCCAUUGCCACCUCCCAAUGAAGAAGCACCACCUCCGCUCUCACCUGAGGAACCCCAGUCAGAAGACUCAGAAGACUCGGAAGACUCUGAGGAGGAUGCUAGAUUUAAACAGUUGAAGGCUAUAGCAGCACAUUGGCAGGCUGCAGCAGCACAUUGGCAACAGCAGCAGCAGCAGCGAGUCGGCUUCCAGUAUCAAGGAAUAAUGCAGAGGCACACACAGUUACAGCAGAUCCUGCAGCAGUACCAGCAAGUUAUCCAGCACUCACCACACAUACAGACCAUGUCUCUGGAUGUGCAGCUGCGACAUUAUGAGAUGCAGCAGCAACAGUUUCAACAUCUCUUUCAAGACUGGGAGCGAGAGUUUCAGCUGUGGGAGGAGCAGCUCCAUUCCUAUCCUCAUAAAGAUCAGCUUCAGGAGUAUGAGAAGCAGUGGAAGACAUGGCAGGGACAUAUGAAAGCCACUCAGACCUAUCUCCAGGAGAAAGUCAACUCGUUCCAGACUGUGAAGAGCCAGUACCUGGGGAACAUGGCAAUGCCACCUCCGUUUGUUCCGUAUUCUCAGAUGCCUCCACCUCUGCCAACAAUGCCACCUCCAGUAUUACCUCCAUCCUUGCCACCACCAGUGAUGCCCCCUGCCCUGCCUACCUCCAUCCCACCACCUGGCAUGCCUCCGCCUGUGAUGCCACCUUCUCUGCCAACCUCUGUCCCCCCACCAGGAAUGCCUCCAUCUCUUUCUUCAGGGCCACCUCCAGUUCUCCCUCCACCUGCCCUCUCUUCAGCAGGGUCACCACCAGUCCUUCCCCCACCGGCUCUACCUGGGGGACCACCCAUCCUACCCCUCCCACCAUUAUCUUCAGCCACACCUCCCCCAGGAAUACCUCCCCCUGGAGCUCCACAAGGGAUGCCUCCUCAGUUAACAGCCCCACUUCCACCAGCUUCUGGUUCUCAGAACUCACAGAUCCCAGAGAAACCUAGACAAGCACUGCUUCCCACACCUGUGUCUUUUGGAUCGACCCCACCUUCACCAUAUCACCCUCCACCUCAGUCAGAACAAGUGAAUUCCAAACCUCUGAACAAGGUGUUCUCAUCUGAGCAAGGACUGGGCGAGUCUUCUGCUCUAUCUCAGUCCAUCAUUGCAGCUAAGGACACGCCAGUGAAGUCAGGUGGACUGCUUGCAGACCCUCCUAAGGGCAGUUUCUUGGAAGGUCCGAGAGGUCCAAGAUUUGAUGGUCCUCGAAGAUUUGAGGAUUUAGGGUCAAGGUGUGAAGGACCGAGACCCAAAGGGCCUCGUUUUGAAGGAAAUCGCCCCGAUGGGCCAAGACCCAGAUAUGAAAGUCACCCAGCAGAGGGCACUAAAAGCAAAUGGGGAACGAUCCCUCGGGGCCCAGCAUCUCAAUUUUAUAUAACUCCCAAUACAUCCCUAAGUCCUCGACAGAGUGGACCACAGUGGAAAGGCCCCAAAGCAACUGUUGGACAGCAGCAUCAGCAGCAGCCUAAGCAGCAACCUAAGUCACAAGCAGAACCUCUUUCAGGAAACAAAGAGCCAUUAGCAGAUACAAGUAAUAACCAACAGAAGAAUUUAAAAAUUCAGUCAGCUGCGUUUUCCAUUUCCGCAGAUGUCAAGGAUACCAAGGCAGCUCAGUCAAAUGAGAAUCUAAGUGACUCUCAACAAGAGCCAACCAAAAGCCAAGUCUCGGAAGGGCCCGUAGAGCCCUCUAAUUGGAACCAGAAUUCUCAAAGUAUGGAGACUGAAAUGGACAAAGCAGAAGGUGUUACUCAGCCUGUAUCCCUUGCAAACAAACCUGUACCUACUCAAUCUACUUUCCCCUCAAAAGUAGGGAGCAUGGAGGGAGGAGCCGCAGCAGCAGCACUGACUGCAGACGAUUUCAAACCUUUGGGUGUUGGUUUGUCCCACUCAGAAAACCACCAAGAAAAAGAUCUUCCUCAGCCAGACAGCAGAGAAAAUAGAUUAGAAGGCAAUAAAGGCAGCAGCUCAUCAUAUAGAGGUCCUGGGCAGAACAGAGUGGAAGAGUCACGGGAUAAAGGACUAGUAAACAGAGGUCGUGGCCAGAUAAUUAACCGUGGUCCAGGUCUGGUCAAGCAAGAAGAUUUCCAUGAUAAAAUGAUGGGUAGAAGAGAAGACAGUCGUGAGAAAAUGAACAGAGGAGAAGGCAACCGGGACAGGGUGUUUGUGAGGCCAGGAAGCAGUCGGGAUAAAAUACCAGGUGGCCUACAAGACAGCCAGGACAGUAGAGCCAACAGCCGAGAAAGGGGGCCACCUCGCAGGGCUGGCAGUCAGGAGAGAGGACCUCCUCGAAGGGCUGGAAGUAGAGAGAGAGUACCCCCUCAAAGAGCUGGAAGCAGGGAGAGGGUACCACCUCGUGGUCCAGGUAGUCGAGAAAGGGGGUUAGGAAGGCCAGAUUUUGGUCAUGAUAGAGUUCCAUUCAGAUCAGAACUAGGAGAUGGUGGAGACAAAGUGUAUCCUUAUCACCGAGAUGAACCUUCUAGGGCUUCGUGGAACCAUGGAGAAGAGAGAGGACAUGAAGAGUUCCCAGUAGAUGGUAGAAAUGCUCCAAUUGAGCGAGAAAGACUCGAUGACUGGGAUAGAAAGAGAUACUGGAGAGAGUGUGAACGUGACUAUCAAGAUGAUACACUAGAUUCAUACAGCAGAGAGGACAGGUUCUCAGCACCACCAUCACGGUCUCAUGAUGGAGACAGGCGAGGCCCUUGGUGGGAUGAUUGGGAAAGAGAUCAGGAUAUGGAUGAGGGUUAUGGUAGGGAAAUGGACAGGGACUUAGACAGAGAUGUGGAUCGCAUUAGAAGACCUUUGGAUAUAUAUGAUAGAAAUGUGGAUAACGAGUGGGACAGAGAUUAUGGGAGACCACUGGAUGAACAAGAAUCACAGUUUCGUGAACGAGAUAUUCCAUCUCUUCCACCUUUACCACCCCUCCCACCUCUUCCACCUUUGGAUAGAUAUCGGGAUGAUAGAUGGAGAGAAGAAAGAAAUCGAGACCAUGGGUAUGACCGAGAUUUCCGUGAUAGGGGUGAGUUGAGGAUUCGAGAGUAUCCAGAAAGAGGAGAUACAUGGCGGGAAAAGCGAGAUUAUGUUCCUGACAGAAUGGACUGGGAAAGAGAACGGUUGUCAGACAGAUGGUACCCAUCUGAUGUGGAUAGACAUUCCCCCAUGGCGGAACAUAUGCCAUCCUCACAUCAUUCCUCUGAAAUGAUGGGGUCCGAUGCAAACUUAGACUCUGACCAAGGCCUUGGAGGGGUAAUGGUUCUCAGUCAGAGGCAGCACGAAAUCAUUUUGAAAGCUGCACAAGAAUUGAAAAUGCUUCGAGAACAGAAAGAGCAGCUUCAAAAGUUGAAAGACUUUGGGUCUGAGCCACAGAUGGCUGACCAUCUACCACCCCCAGACUCAAGACUACAGAAUCCAUCAAGACCUGGGAUGUAUCCGCCUCCAGGAUCCUAUAGACCACCCCCUCCUAUGGGUAAGCCACCUGGGUCAAUUGUAAGACCCUCUGCUCCACCAGCAAGAUCAUCUAUUCCUAUGACUAGGCCUCCUGUGCCAAUACCACCACCGCCUCCUCCACCUCCACCACCACCACCUCCUCCUCCAGUUAUAAAGUCAAAAACCUCAUCUGUGAAACAGGAACGCUGGGAUGAAGAUUCUUUCUUUGGGCUCUGGGAUACAAAUGAUGAUCAAGGACUGAAUUCAGAAUUUAAGCGAGACACUGCAACAAUUCCGUCUGCUCCGGUGUUACCACCCCCACCUGUUCAUUCUUCCAUUCCCCCUCCUGGCCCAAUGCCUAUGGGUAUGCCACCAAUGUCCAAACCACCACCAGUGCAGCAUACAGUUGACUAUGGCCAUGGCCGAGAUAUGCCUACUAAUAAAGUUGAACAGAUACCAUAUGGAGAAAGAAUAACUCUACGUCCAGAUCCAUUACCUGAAAGGUCAACUUUUGAUGCAGAUCAUGCAGGCCAGCGUGAUCGCUAUGAUAGAGAUAGAGACCGUGAACCUUAUUUUGACCGUCCAAGUAAUAUAACAGAUCAUCGAGAUUUUAAAAGGGACCGAGAGACACAUAGAGAUAGAGACCGAGAUCGUGUUCUUGACUAUGAGCGGGACCGAUUUGACAGAGAGCGCAGACCCCGAGAUGACAGGAAUCAAUCAUAUCGAGACAAAAAAGACCAUUCUUCAUCCAGAAGAGGAGGGUUUGACAGGCCAUCCUAUGACCGGAAGUCUGAUAGACCACCCUAUGAAGGCCCACCCAUGUUUGGAGGAGAACGAAGAACUUACCCAGAGGAGCGCAUGCCCCUUCCAGCUCCUGCCCUGGGCCACCAGCCACCUCCAGUUCCUCGGGUUGAGAAGAAGCCGGAGUCCAAAAAUGUGGAUGACAUUCUGAAACCGCCGGGCCGGGAGAGCCGGCCUGAAAGAAUUGUUGUUAUAAUGAGAGGAUUGCCUGGCAGUGGAAAGACACAUGUUGCAAAACUUAUCCGGGAUAAGGAAGUAGAAUUUGGAGGACCUGCCCCCAGGGUUUUAAGUCUAGAUGAUUAUUUCAUCGCUGAAGUAGAAAAAGAAGAAAAAGAUCCAGAUUCUGGAAAGAAAGUAAAAAAGAAGGUAAUGGAAUAUGAAUAUGAAGCUGACAUGGAAGAGACUUAUCGCACCAGCAUGUUCAAAACUUUCAAAAAGACUCUAGAUGACGGCUUUUUCCCUUUCAUUAUUCUGGAUGCUAUCAAUGACAGAGUUAGACAUUUUGAUCAGUUUUGGAGUGCAGCGAAAACCAAGGGUUUUGAGGUGUAUUUGGCUGAAAUGAGUGCUGAUAACCAGACUUGUGGCAAGAGAAAUAUUCAUGGAAGAAAGCUUAAAGAAAUAAACAAGAUGGCUGAACACUGGGAAGUUGCACCUCGUCACAUGAUGCGUCUAGACAUCCGCUCCCUGCUACAAGAUGCUGCGAUUGAAGAAGUAGAGAUGGAAGAUUUUGAUGCUAACAUUGAAGACCAGAAGGAAGAAAAGAAAGAUGCAGAAGAAGAGGAAAGCGAACUGACAAGUUGGAUGGCUUGAGGACUGGUACUAAAAGGAAGCGAGACUGGGAGGCGAUUGCCAGCAGAAUGGAGGAUUACCUUCAGCUCCCUGACGACUACGAGACUCGCGCUUCUGAGCCUGGGAAGAAGAGGGUGAGAUGGGCAGACCUAGAAGAAAAGAAGGAUGCAGAUAGGAAAAGGGCCAUAGGUUUUGUGGUCGGACAGACUGAUUGGGAGAAGAUCACAGAUGAGAGUGGUCACCUGGCUGAAAGAGCCCUCAAUCGGACCAAAUAUAUAUGAGACUUAGUUUUGAAUGGAGUCAUGUUCCUCUAAGGUGGUUCGAUGUGAGGCGACCUGAAGCUCAGCCCUCGGGAAGCUUCUUGUGUCUGGAAGCUUCUUGUGUCUCCACGUUUCAAUUUUGUUUUGUUUUACCACUUUCAUUUUUAAACGUUUUCCAGUAUCCCCCCCAAAAUUUUAGAAUCUUGCUAUAUCCAAGCAAGACAUUAUUAAUAUUUUUUUUAAACUAAUUUGGGGAGGGAGGGUUAGCUUAAGUGCUAAGUCAGGUGUGGAUCCACAGGAGGGUUCCAACAGAGUGUUUCCUCCACUGUAUACUGUCACAGACUAUCAUCAUUGCUUUGUGGCUGGUUUUGUUUUUUUACUGUAUGUAACAAGUAGCUGAUUGUACUUGGAUAAAAAACAAUAAACUUUCACUAUAAAGCCAAUGAGAUUCAUAGGCUGUACAGUAUGGGCCCUUUUCUCUUAUUUUCUUACAUUUAUUUUUAUUGUUAAUUAAAUGCAGUAUGUCCUGCUUGCUGACCACCCCCAAACCACCUCUUUACUAUUGAAUAUUAGCACAGCUGUUUGGUAGCACAUUGUAAAACUCCAUGAUUGCAAAGUGUCCAGUGAUGACCAAAACAUUCAACUUUAUAGAUGGAGUUCUCUUUCUUUGUGUCUUAAAGACUAACAGAAUCAAGUCUAAAUAUCCAUCAAUUUUCUGAGACAUCUCUCUCUCUCUCUCUCUCCCUCUCUCUCUCUCUCUCUCUCCCUCCCUCCCUCCCCCCUCAGGAGGGGGAAAUACGGUGUUACCUCUUUAUUCUUCCUUUCUCUUUGUGCUACCUUGUUUGAUUUCCUCCCUCUCCCCCCCCCCCCUUUAGCUGGUUUUAAAUACAGGUGAACAGAAAUGAUACAUUCCAUAGAACUCAAGUUGUUGCCUUGUUUUGAACUUGAAUCGUUGCUUUCUAAGACAGGAUCAUGGUAAAGGAGUAUGAAAAGUCUCCAGCCCUCUGGCAAGCAGUCUUUGAGCCUGGCCAGCUUUUCAGGCUCUUGCCAGAUUGCUCAUUAUUGUAAAACUUGGCCUUCAGCAUAGAAUUUCAUCUCCUGUGGAUAAUCCCACUCAGAACCCAGAAGCAGAGCUUACAUCCAGAUAACAUUCUUCCUUAAGUAUAGAAAGGAGGUGCUUGCUUUUUAUCAGUCUUCACAGAUAGAGAUGAACUUUCUUCCUCAAACACUAUUUCUUGGUGGCAAGCCAGCUCAACAACUUGGGAACAUGUUAACAGAUGACCUCAGCAUUAUGUCAUGGUUGGAAAUCUUUAGUUUUUCAAUCUACAUUAAAUACUGUGCUUGGAGCUAAUAUUUCUUAGCAGUUCAGGAGUGUUACUUUGGGUUCAGUAAUGACCUUCUCAGACUGAAGGCACUAAUCGUAACAUCUUCCUGUACUUUUCCCUCAAAUUCUGAAUGUUUAUGCCUAAAAGACUAGGUUCAUUAACAAGUUAAUAUUGAAUGUAUAAUUUGCUUAAUUUAAUGAUUUGCACUGUUUGUAAUGUUUAAUAAUCUAUUUUGGUGGCUAAGGACUGUAAUCUAUUUCUGCAUAUGGAUCCAUCUUAGCUACCUUUAUUAUACUGGAAAAUGUUACAUGGUAAGAUAGCCAAAUAGAGCUAUUGUUUGUACAAAGACUCAUUUAACACUUAUCUUUUCUUACUAAAGUAAGACUUGUAAAGUUAUUUUCCUGCUUGAGAAGAAAAGAAGGCCUCUUUGUUCCUCACCUUUAACCUUUGUGUAGCAUUUGAAACACCCGAGAGAUGAGUGUUGGUUACCCACGAAUCAUGGGUCUCAGCAUCGUCAGCCAUGGCCUGUGGCAGUUUUCAGAAAGUAGUUAGAGGAGCCACAGUCAAGAGCUGCCUGCUUUCAGAAGUGGGUUCAUCUACAGAGAGUCAGAAAAAAGAACCAGAAAGCAGUAAGGAAGAUAACCAAUUAAUACUUGAUUCUACAAGGCCAGUAGGAAACUCUUAAGAAAUCCUAAUUUUUAUUAUCACCUAAACCAACAGAAUAGAAGGUCAAGUGGUAUCUUGGGGAGUUUUGGGUUGGGUAAACAUUUUGUAGUGAGUCAACUCUUCUUAGUUACAGUACAAACCUAGAGUCUGUGUGUUUGCAGAUUUAUUACUGUUAUCUUUCUUAUUUCAGAAAGCAAUCCGGUAUUAUUUUGCAUUUGUAUUUAAAUCAUUUUAGUUGUGGUUUCUUUUAUCUGGCUGGAUUUAUUUCACUUAUGGCAGAAAGAGCAAGUCAAAGACCCCAUCCAGAGUAUUGACUAUACAUUUUAAAUUGAACUAAUAGUUUUCCACUUGGGUUUCCUUGGUUUGGAGCCACUUGGAGUUUGUGUUAAAUGUUUUAUCCUGGUAACCACAAGUUACAGGUAUUUGUUAAUGGGCGUCUAGAGCUGGGCUAGGACUAUAAAGGCAGCAAGUUCUCAGGAGCAGACUGGCAGAUCUUAGAAUUUUAGCUGAAGUGUUAAAGCAGGCUAAGGAAGGGGAAUGAUUCCUUGUUUUUGUAUUGAUAGAUUGUCAUACAAACUCUGUUCCUCUCUCAGAACCUAUGUGACCUCAAGUGACUCUUAACUUUCUGAACACCAGUUUCAUCUGUAGAUAUGAAAAUGGAAUUAUAAAUGCCUUUUUGCCUAAUACGGAUCAUAGUAAAACACACCUCACUAUUCUGAGGAUAAAAUUGGACUAUUAUGCUCUGCUGCUGUCAUAGGACCCAGCCACAAAGUAAAAGAUAAAAAUCAGUAGUCGUGCAUGAUACAGGCCUUUAAUCCCUGGCAGAGACAAGUAGAUCCCUGUGUUUUCAAGGACAGCUUGCUCUCCACAGAGAAGCCUUGUCUUGGAAAACAGAAACAAAACAAAAAGCAAAUCAGUAGUAAAUUACUUAACUUUUUCUCGGAUGCUUCUGAAACUCUUACUUCCCAGCUGUCCUAAAGAGAGUUCUGCCACCGUAUAGCUGCUAUAGAUUGAGCUGAGCCAUGGAAACAGUGCAGGGUGUGAGGAGGUGGAAGAGUUGAAAGCAUCUGUAGGAAGCUGGUGGCCUAUCCUCAGGACCAGCGUGGAAGCUUGAGGGGCUCAAGAGCAAAGCAGGAGUCAUGACAGGAUGGAAUCGCCAGACCGUGGGCAUGAGCACAGAUAACAUGAAAAACACCACGGUGCUUAUGAGAAUGUGUCCCGCUCAUAUGGUGUAAAAUUGGAAAUGGUCAGGAAUGUCAUAAACACUGUCACCUGCCCCCCUCCCCCAGCUUCCCACUGCACCUAGAGCCAACAUUAAAAGCUAAUUUUAUGCUUUUUAAGAAAAUUCUGUGGGUUGGCUAAGUAGUCACUUUGUCAGCGGUCUUUAUGGACUACUUUGUUUUCCUUUUAAGAGUGAGGUUUAGUGGCCAUUCAAAUCAUACAUAAAAUAUUUCUGUUAUCUCCCUUUAGUUUCCCAAAGUUAACGUCUUAUUAUUAAAGGGUAUUUUCGGAAAACUUUCAGAAAUGGUUUCAACUAAAUCACUAUUGUUUUUGUGGCAUUGAGCACAUGAUAGAGAUGUUACACAAGUCUCAGCACUUGCUGGUUUGAGAAGUCACCCCUAAAGCCCCUUGCACAUUUGAUUUUAGACAGCCACCAUUCUGUUUUCCAUUUGUAUACUCUCGUCAUUUAAAGAAUAUUACACAUGUAAAAUACAUUACAUAGUCCUUUGGGAUUGGUGGAACCUUUUGUCAUUGGCCUAGUUCCUUUGAGGCUUUUUCAAAUUGUCAUGUAUAUCUGUUAAUCAAUUUAAUGAUGACUAGCCUUAGAUCCCAUUCUCUCUUGUGGCUGUAUCAUAUAAUCGACAUGAUUAUGAAAAUUUACUUACCAGGUCUCAAUUGUUUGGUACUUUUCCUGUCUUUUGCUGCUCUAAAUUGUGAAGUUUCUUUGCACUCAAUCUGCCUUCCUACACCUACCUAAUUUCCAGCAAUGAAGAAACAAUACCAGUGGCAUCCUUUGCACAGAUGUCCUCAAACUGUAACACUCCACACAGCAUAGCACAGUGGUAGACUGCUAUCAAGAGACCACGACUUUAAGGAGGUGACAACGACAGACUUGCUUCCCUAGAAAACCCUUCAUGAUUGAAUUGUGACAAAACGGGGACCUGAAUGAUCAGAGACUCAUGCCUCCCUGAUCCAUACAUGACUUGAGAGUUGAGACUCCUAGCUGCUGUCCAUGGGACCUGUACCUCAAGGCGUGGACCGAUGUCAGUUAUGCAGCCUGUUGCUGAAAGUCUGGAAGGAAGAUGGUGGUGCUCUGCAGUGAUGGAUCGCGCUCUGGAUGCAUGCCACAGGGCACCUGAGAACUUAAUGCUUUACGAUGUAGGUAAAGCUUAACUGAGUCUUCCACUUAAGAAACUUGAAUGUUCUCCCAGAUAUCCAUAACCUUGUUUCUGAGCGUAAAGCAUAGAUAGUAAUAAAAGAAAAUCUUUCUUACUUGGGGAAUAGGAACAGUCCAUUCCACUGUCACUUCAAAUCCCACUCAGGUCUACUUCCUAAUUAGAAGAAUGUUCGAGAAAUAUUCUCCCUGCCCUCCUUCCCUCCCUCCCUCCCUCUUCCUCUUUUCUUAGUACUUCAUGCCUCCAUGAGGAAGAAAUGGAACCUCCAGAGGGUCAGUAAUGCCUCUUUCACCUUGCUCGAGAAUCAGCAGAAUACUUUGGGUGCCUUUAUGUGGUUGGCAGAAUUGUUGCAAAGACUACCACAAAUUAAACACUUGGUUAUUUUAGUUGCUCUGCCAGAGCGGGGCAACAUCUCAUUCCAUAAAAUUGGUUGAGUGUUCUCUCAUGCUUAAUCCUUUCGAAGCAUUUAGCUCCAUAUGUAGCUUAUAUGUUUGUAGAGAGAAUAAAUAGUGGAAUGCUUCUUGUAUACAUACAGGAAUCACAACAUCAUGUAGAAUUGACACAUGAGUCCCGAGGCAGAGAGGUUGCUUGUUAUAGUGCUUUGAUACCAUGGUAGUUAUGGUCAGAAGAGGGCAGCACUCUCCGACCAAUUGUGAAAUUCACUCUCCACCAGUGAAAAUUGUGACUGUGGACGGAUUUGAAUCUUGGCUUGCCCGAUUUUCUAGAACGCUGUCUGGACAUAGUGGCACAUGCUGUAAUCUCAGCACUUAGGAGUUGUAGUCAGAAAGACCAGGAGCCCAAAGCCAGCUUGGCUCUAUAGACAUCUUUUAUUCUCUAAUAAUUCCCCAUGUGUGUACAGUGACUCUUAAACAUACACAUUCCCACCUCACCUUCAUGUCCUCUCCUUUUUUGUUGCUGGGUUUUUUGGUGGUUGGUUGGUUGGUUGGUUGGUUGGUUGGUUGGUUGGUUGGUUGGUUUUGUUUUAACGCAUCGAUUUCAAUUAAUGCUGUUGGGUGGUCUUGGUUUGAUAUUGUGCAGGUGACCAUAGUGGCUGUUGAGUUAGGAGUGCACUGGCUGUGUGCUUCGAAGACAGCAUCUCCCAGCGUUCUGACCCGUCCCUCACUUACAUCCUUUCCACCCUUCUUCCACAGUGUUUCUUGGGGUGGGCUGAGUGUAAGCACUUAACCGCCAUUUAUUUGACUUUAGAUUGUUUUUAACAUGAGAAUCUCAGUAUUUUAGCAACAAGAACUUUGCUUUGGAAGGUGAGUUGUAAGUGACUUAGCUCAUCUGACUCAAGGGCUGCCUGCCCCCUUUGAAACCCUUGACAUUUAACAGAUGGGGGGGGGCUUUGGGCUCAUUCUAGUACCCCACCCCGUCUGCCUUUAUUUUUAUUCUUAGUUUUUAUUUAAAUGUGAGCUAAACAAGAACAAAAGAACUUCAUUAAUUUCGUACAGUGAGGAACAGACUGGAGUUUGGGUUUCCUGGUCUAUAACUCAGCACUUUGGUUUUCUUGACAAUUCCUUCAUGAAGGCUUUUUUUUCUUUUUCUUUUUUUUUGUUUUUCGAGACAGGGUUUCUCUGUAGUCCUGGCUGUCCUGGAACUCACUUUGUAGACCAGGCUGGCCUCGAACUCAGAAAUUCACCUGCCUCUGCCUCCCAAGUGCUAGGAUUAAAGGCGUGUGCCACCACCGCCCGGCUCAUGAAGGCUUUAAAACCAUAUUAGGAUGGUAAAUUCUCUACUAUUGUGUGUGUAACUAAACUGUAUGAACCUAAAAUACAUCCUGUAAGUUUCUCUUUGAGGAACAACACCAUACAUUUAAAAUAUCUUCCUGAAUUCUCAACAGUCACAGGGCGGUUAUACACCUAGGAUCGCCCAUAAAAAUUACUGUGUUUGAUAUUUUUCUUUUUCCUCACAGCUUAAAAAUUAAUCAUCUUAAAUGUUGUUAUGGUGCAAAAAUAAUGGAGUUUUCUCUCAGGGUAGGGGAGAUCAUGAUUAAUCAUGAUUUUUCUUCUUUUUUUUUUCCUUUUUCUGUGUGUGUGUGUGUGUGUGUGUGUGUGUGUGUGUGUGUGUGUGUGUGUGUGUGUUUCAGGCUGGCGUCAAGCUCAUAGAGCUCUGCCUGCCUCAGCUCCCCAGUGCUGAGCCUAAAGGCAUGGACCACCACCGCCUGGCAGUGCCUGUUUCUUUACCUCUAGUAAUCAGCAUCUUAUCUACUUCAAUUUGUAAUUCCCCAUUAAGCACCUUACUAAUUAAGGACAAGGUCAUCCACUUCAAAUGGUGGUCUGCUAGCAGCCUGGCUCCCAGCACUGGCUCCAGCGUCCUCCAAGCUUACUGCAGGGACACUGGGCCUCGGCUCCCUGAGUAUUCCCUCUGGCUUCCCUGUGUCCCCUCUUUAUGACGUAUAGUUAUCUGAUCCACACGUUCCCUCCUCCCUGAAGCUGAUCCUCGUCUUGGCCCUCCUCCACGCUCUCACGGAUUUGUACCCCUGUCUUUGUUGGCUUGGCUUUGGUUUUUGGGCUUUGGUGUUUUGUUUUGUUUUGUUUUGUUUUUUAAGGCAGGGCUUCUCUGUAUAGCCCUGGCUGUCCUGGAACUCACUCUGUAGACCAGGCUGGCCUCGAACUCAGAAAUCCGCCUGCCUCUGCCUUUGGCUUGCCUUUAUAAGUUGAGUAGCUGGACACUUGUCAUUUGCAUCUUCUCUGAGUCCUAAGAACAAACUCUUAGAAGGGAGGAACUUUUACUCCUCCUCUGUUCUGGUAUUGGCCUCAGAUCUGGUCUCUAUUCUUUACAGUUGACGCUUACACUGGUACCUAGAAAAUUUAAAUAUGGUAAACGUUCAUGUAGGUCACCAUAUGUGCAGUUUACACAGCCAGGUUUUGUGCUUGCCUUUUCAUUGGCUGUGUCUUGCCACUGAUUGCAUACCCACUCAUAUGUUAUAUAAACCAGGCAUCACGAAUUCAAAUGUCUUCAGAGCAGAGGAAGCUAAUACAAAUAAGAGGCUUGGCCAAUACAACAGGAUAGUUUUCAAAUUAGCCAUAUAGGAAUAUUCUCAUGGAAAAAUGCUCCCCCUCCCCCCGUUGAAACAGUAUAUAUAGACUGCCUUACUUUUCCCCCUGGGGAGAGUUACAAAGGCAAGUAUUGUCUUUUUACUGUGUAUACCUAAAGUACAGUGAUGCGGGGUAGCCGGGAGGGAAGAGAGCUUGGUGAGGACGGGACUGCUACAAAGUGCCUGACCCAUGGAAUGGUAACUGCCUUCAAGGAAAGUACCAGCAUUCCCUGAUAAAGGUAAUUGGAAAUCUGGAUUUUUAUGUGAAGUGGUUUUUACAAAAUACUGCGGAGACUACUAGAAGCUACAUUUGGAGGUUACAAACUACCUGCCAUAAUCUGAGGGCUUCUGAUGUAUAUCCUGAGGGCUGGUAAUAAUUCUGAAAGGCAUUGUUAGGAAGGCUUAUGUGAUUAAGUUGCAUAUAUAAAUGUAUGAUCACUUUGUAUCUGAUAUUUUGGAAAGGCAGUUGUUUUCCCUGAGCAAGGCAAUACAAUACACUCAGUGAAUUUGCAGUGGGCUUCCCCUUCCCCGGCUCCUGAAGGUAGACAUGAGCCGUUUACACAGAAAAAGGAACCAGCGAGCCUGCCCUUGGGUUCAGUGGAGCCAGCAGCUGAGCGGCUGUGCUGAGCUGGUGAAUUUGACCAGAAUGCCUGCUGUAAACAUGCUUUCUGUUGCCACUGGAGAAAGAUGAGUGCCAUGAAAGCUGCUUUCUCAGCGCCUGUUACCAUCAAGGUAGGUAUAAUUUGAUGUUUCUUAAGAGUAUUGGGCAUUAUCUCUCUCUUGUUUUAAAUUGAUGUAUUUAUUCCAGACACAAUAUAUGAAUUUAUUUUCAUUAUUAAGGUUAAAUAUUACAGCCAAAACUUAUCAACACUCACCAUCCCCCUUUAGGAAGUAUUUAGUGAUGCCAUUUCAUUUGAAGGUUGGUUUUCCAUAUGUUCUUGUUUGUACAAAUGUACAGACAGGUACAUUAAAUAUAUAGUCUGUUUAACAUUUGUGAGAGCCCUCACACUUUCUGUACAUCACUAUCUUGGAUGCACAUAAAUUCCUGUGUAUGCAUUCAGAUUUUUGUUUGUUUGUUUGUUUGUUUGUUUGUUUUUUGAGAGAGGGUCUCACUGUGGGCCUGGCUGUCCUCAAACUCACUGUGUUGACCAGGCUGGCCUCAGACUCACAGAGAGCUGCCUGCCUCUGCCUUCCUUUCAGGAUUAAAGGUAAAGGUGUGUGCCAUUGCACGGACACGCACACGCACGCACACACACACACACACACACACAUUUCCCCCCACUGAGUCUCUGCCCUCCUGUUGCAUCAUCUCACAUCCUUGCAGGUGCUCCUUAUGUGCAUAUGCUCUCAUUUUUCCAGUGAAAGUCGAGAAGACUCUAAACCCUGGGCCAUGGGGAAAUAAUUUCUCUUUUACUUAUUCCUAGUAAUUACUGUUUUAGAAAUUGAAAAUUAACAAUGUUUGAGAUACAUUUUUUUAAUGGAUUUUUACCCUACAAUGGCACCUAUUUAUUUUUUGGUGGUCGAUAGUUAGCUUCGAACACCCCUUUCAUCCUUGUGUAAACCUGCUCAGGAAUCUGUUGUUCUUCCAUGGAUCCUAGGAGCCAAAAUGAAGUCGUCAGACUUGGCAGCAAGCACAUUUAUUCGCCAGGUUCUCUCACCAUCCCAGCACUCUUGACAUUUUGGAAUGCCAGUUUGGGGCUCAAGCCAUGAGUCGUCAUGGAAAAGUGUCUGGUGCUCUUGCAGAGGAACGGGUUGAGUUCCAGCACCCGGCAGUUCUUAGCUCCCCUGAGCUACAGCUGCAGAAGAUGCAACGCCUGGUCUUCUCCAGGCACUGCACUCAUGCACAAGCCCACACUUACAAAUGCACAUAAGUUAAAAGUACAGGUACAGCUAGACAUGGUGAUGUUCCCUGUUAGUCUAGCACUCUGAUCUCUGAGUUCAGGGUAUACCUCAUGGACAUGAGUAAGUUCCAGGCCAGCCAGUACUACACAGUAAGACCUUGUCUCAAAACAAACGAAAAACAAAAAAAAGCCAGUUUUUAAGAUACCCUUAUUUAAAUCUAAGGUUUAAUAUAUGUUUGGAAUUAAUAUAGGUAAACAGGGCCUGGAGAGAUGGCUCAGCAGUUAAGAGCACUGACUGCUCUUCUGGAGGUCCUGAGUUCAAAUCCCAGCAACCACAUGGUGGCUCACAACCAUCUGUAACAAGACCUGAGUCCCUCUUCUGGCGUCUAAAGACAGCUACAGUGUACUUACAUAUAAUAAAUAAAAUAAAUCUUUUUUUAAAAAAAUGUAUAUAUAUGUAUAUAUACAUAUAUAUAUACACACACAUAUAUAUGUAAACAGAAUAGGUUCUAGUUCAAAAUUAAGUUUUUAAAAUAGGCAUCGAAUGGCUUUAAAAUGGGACUGCCUCUAGGCACUUUCUACCUCAUGUAGUGAAUACUGGAAUACUUUACAUGAGAACUAUUCAUUUAGUUAGGCAUGGAACCUUUUUUAUUACGAGACAGUCUUUUUGUGUGCCUCUGGCUGUCCAGGAACUCUCUGUAGAGCAGGCUGACCUCGAACUCACAGAGACCUGCUUGCCUCUUUCUCCCUAGUGCUGGAAUUAAAGGUGUGCGCCACCACUGCCCAGCUCAUUACUAAACUUUUUAUUAAGAGAACAUGACCUGAGAAUUUUCUCUCUACCGGUCUUGCUGUUAGUUGGAAAGUUACUGAUAAAUGAAGAUUCAGGGUUGAGAAUCCAUUAGGUCAUGGUGGGAUGCUUUCUUAGAGUCAGUAAACUUAACUACGUUUACCCCUUUCAUUGUGUGUACAUAUUUGGAAGGAUAGUGAUGUAGGAAGUGUGUGCUAUGUGAAGUCAUGUGAAAGAAAUUGGUUUUGGUUUCCUCCAAACUCCCAGGGAACAUUUAAAACUCCUAAGAUUAGGUAAAACUCAUAUUUGCAUAUCAGAAUUUAGGGUAGGACUCAGAUAUUUUUAUUUUUUUUUACUUGUUUGUUUUUUUAGAUCGUCUCAAUGUGGACUCAGCCGGCCUUAAACUUAACUGCCUUGCAUUACACAUGUGGCCUUUGGUAAUUUUAAAAAAUAACUUUAUAAUCUUAUAUUUACUUAUUGUGUAUGUGGCGCAGAUAUGCCACAGUGGAUGUGUGAGGUCAGAGGACAGCUUGCAGGCAUCAGUGUUCUCCACCGUGUGGGUUCUGAGGAUCAGACUGUGGUGUCAGGCUGGGUGGCAGACGCCCAUUCCUCAGCCUCAGUGUUGUAGUUGUGGGGUUUUGUUUUGUUAAGAAUUUAACUUUGCAGUUCAGGCUGGCCUCAAAUUCACAGCCAUCGCACCUCAGUCCCAGAGGACUAGGACUGUAGGUUUACGUUACCAUGCCUGGCCCAUUGGCAGUUUUUUUAAAGAUCCCAAGGUAGUACUCAACUGUGGUUGACCUUGAGACCUUAAAGAGGGUUCUGUUUGUUUGUCUCCAGGUUACAAUUCAUUCAUUAAAAACAAUUGCUGAUGUCCCAGAUCUGUUGGAAGAACACCACAAAUUCCAAAUGUAGAAGAUAAGCUAUAUGUGUGUGUUUUGCCUACAAUCUCAGUACAUGAGAGGCCAAUACUGGAAGACAUGGAGUUGAAGGCCAGCUCUAGUACAUAGUAAAUUUGUGGCUGGUUCAGGCGAUAUGAGAUCCAGUUUCAACCAGAAAGGAAGGAGUAGGGAAGGAGUGGGGAAAGAAUUGAGGGAAUGGGAGGGAGGGAGGAAGGGAGGAAGAAAAGAAAGGGGGGAAGGAAGGGAGGGAAGAAUAGAAAUAGAAUAGAAUAGAAUAGAAUAGAAUAGAAUAGAAUAGAAUAGAAUAGAAUAGAAUAGAAUAGAAUAGAAUAGAAAUUUAGAAAUGUUUACAAUUCACCUAGCCUCAGAGAGUUAGUUUCCAAAGAUACUUCAUGCCACAAAAGAACAUACUGGGAGAAACAGGCUUAGGACAAACACAUAAAACCAAGAUUAAAAUGUCUCCCGUUAGCUGAGUGUGGUGGCACACAACUGUAUUCCCAGUGCUAGGAAAGCUGAGGCAGAAGGAUCUCUGAGUUUGAAACCAGCCAGGCCAGUAAGGACUACAUAAAGAGACCCUGUCUCCAAAAACAAAACAAGUUUCUAGUCAUCUAGGCCUUCACUGGUGAGACCCUGUCUCAAAGAAAAGAGAAGGAAAAAAAAGACUCAACUUCUUGUUAUAAGUGAAACUGUAUACUUGCUUUGAAAACAUACAGAAGUUGCCGGCCGGGGGUACCGCACGCCUUUAAUCCCAGCACUUAAGAGGCAGAGGCAGGCAGAUUUCUGAGUUCGAGGCCAGCCUGGUCUACAGAGUGAGCCAGGACAGCCAGGGCUACACAGAGAAACCGUGUCUUGAAAACCAAAAAAAAAAAAAAAAAGAAAACCUACAGAAGUUAAUUAGGAAAAUAUUCAAGUUAAAAACAGUCUAUUCAAUGGAUCUGUUAAAGAUAGAAAAUUAUAUAAUUGUAGAAAUAGACUAAUUACCUAUGAUUAGAAGGAUGUCAGAAAUGGAGUCUAUUGCCCUAUAAAAGCAAGCUUUAGAAAUAAACUAGCAAACAGCAUGCCAAGCACAGCAGCAUAGGCGUGUCCUAAGGAAAAGCAAAGACAUUCAAAGUCUACAGUGCAUGGCGUUAGUGGAGCUUCUUCACUAAAGUCUUCCUCACAAUGUAUUAACUUCUGUUCAAAGCCAAAUUGUGUUCUGCAUAGAACACAUUAGUAUAUGUUCAAUCUCAUAGUUGCUAAAACUGAGAUCCAAGUAUGUCUUAUCAAUAGUGCCACAUAGUCAUUCUCUCAAGUCUUUCCCACUGGAUGUCUUUGCUCAGUUUGACAGCUGCACACGGCUAACAUUGCCAGGGAACAUACCAUGCACCAGGAGUGCUAAACAUCUCACAUGUACUCUCUUCCCCAAACCUAGGACAGUACUAGGAGAUAGGUGCUCUUUAAAAAUGGCAAAGCUGAGGCCAGAACAGAAGGUAACCCACACAGGGCCAUAGCUGGGAGGUCCCUGGGCACAGGCUUCUUAGGAAAGAUGCUGGAAUGGCAUUAGGUCACCCCUGCCUGAGGAGUGGAGCAACUGGCAGGGAGAGAUGGUGUUCUUGCAUAAGGUGAAAGAGGGUGAACCACGGAGGCCAGGAAACAGGGAGAAAACACGUUCCAAGAGAAAGAACUGGUAUCUGAGAGUAAAAAGCAUUUAGACAUGGUAAAAAACAGUUGUAGGCAUCAAGAAGCCAGAUAGUGAAGACUUGGUCCAAGAGAAACCAGACUACAAGUAGGUGGUCCUGUAAAGCCUGUGCUGUUUGGGGCAAUCUACCUCUUGUGUUUCCCUAGUGGGUGUUUCCCUUCUGCUUUCAAUGUCUAGACCAGUGGUUCUCAACCUUUCUAAUGCUGUAAUCCUUGAAUACAGUUAUCCAUCUUGUGGUGACCCCCCAGCCAUAAAACUAUUGUGUGUGUGUGUGUGUGUGUGUGUGUGUGGUUUUUCGAGACAGGGUUUCUCUGUGUAGCCCUGGCUGUCCUGGGACUCACUUUGUAGACCAGGCUGGCCUCAAACUCAGAAAUCUGCCUGCCUCUGCCUCCCGAGUGCUGGGAUUAAAGGCCUGUGCCACCACGCCUGGCAUAAAACUAUUUUCAUUGCUACUUCAUAACUGUAAUUUUGCUCCUGUUAUGAAUCAUAAGUAUCUGAUAUGCACGGUGGUCUUAGAAAGAUCCCUGUGAAAGGGUCAUUUGACACUCCCCUCCUCCCAAAGGGGCCACAACCCACAAGUUGAGAACAACUGUCCUAAGCACUUGCUUAUUCUCUUCAGGUCAGUAUCAUCUAAUAUAGAAAUUGUCUAACCCUGGAAAAUACUUUGUAAUGAAUCAACUUCUAUAGGUGAACAUUUUAUAGAUAUGUGUCAGGUGCAGGUUUACUGCAGGGAUUAUGAUCCUUGGUCUUGGUGGUCAACUUGAUUAGACCCAGAAUCACCUAGGAGACCCAUCCUUGGGCAGACAUGUGAGAAGUUAUCUAGAUUAAAGUUAGCCUCUGUGAAUGUCUGUGAAGGUCCAUCUUAGUUUGGACUGCACCCAUCUCUGGGCAGGGAUCCCAGGACUGUUAAAUGGAGAAACAGCCGGGUAUUAGCGUCCAUUGUUCUCUGCUUCCAAUCAUAAAUGAGGUAUGUCCUGCUGCCUUGACUUUAGUGAUGAUGAACUAUACCCUUGUAUUGUGAGCCAGAAUAAAUCCUUUCUUUCUUA